GGUUGCCGAUUGAUUCCGUGCUCCCUCUAGCUUUGUUUGGUUGUUGUUCAAAGACCGCUAAGCAUUCUCAGAUAACAAGACAGGUGUAAUAUGUUGAAAGCAUGGUGGAUACGCCGCUGGUAAUGUUGAUUGAUAGGAUGCACUCACAUAGGACUGGACAAGGCCUUAGUGACUUAAUAACAAUGAUAGACUAUGUUUAACUUGUUUG
rnacentral:lncRNA from 1 species